rnacentral:rRNA from 1 species
GCUCAAUCUGUGCCGGCCGCUACGGGAAGUCAGUGGGUGUGGGCGUUAAGCGGAUUUACUGGGCGUAAAGCGCGAGUAGGUGGUUAAUUAAGUCAAAUGUGAAAUCCCCUAGCUUAACUUGGGAAUUUCAUUCGAUACUGGUUAGCUAGAGUAUGGGAGAGGAUGGUAGAAUUCCAGGUGUAGCGGUGAAAUGCGUAGAGAUCUGGAGGAAUACCGAUGGCGAAGGCAGCCAUCUGGCCUAAUACUGACACUGAGGUGCGAAAGCAUGGGGAGCAAACAGGAUUAGAUACCCUAGUAGUC